AGAGUUUGAUCCUGGCUCAGGAUGAACGCUGGCGGCGUGCCUAACACAUGCAAGUCGAGCGGUAUAUAUUGGAAUGAAACUUCGGUCGAGUGAAGAUAUAGAGAGCGGCGGACGGGUGAGUAACGCGUAGGCAACCUGCCCCAUACAGAGGGAUAGCCUCGGGAAACCGGGAUUAAAACCUCAUAAUGCGAGAGGUUCACAUGGACUUUUCGCCAAAGAUUUAUCGGUAUGAGAUGGGCCUGCGUCUGAUUAGCUAGUUGGUGGGGUAACGGCCUACCAAGGCAACGAUCAGUAGCCGACCUGAGAGGGUAAUCGGCCACAUUGGAACUGAGACACGGUCCAAACUCCUACGGGAGGCAGCAGUGGGGAAUAUUGCACAAUGGGCGAAAGCCUGAUGCAGCAACGCCGCGUGAGCGAUGAAGGCCUUUGGGUCGUAAAGCUCUGUCCUAGGGGAAGAAAAAAAUGACGGUACCCUUGGAGGAAGCCCCGGCUAACUACGUGC
rnacentral:rRNA from 1 species